rnacentral:rRNA from 1 species
CGUGCCAGCAGCCGCGGUAAUACGGAAGGUCCGGGCGUUAUCCGGAUUUAUUGGGUUUAAAGGGAGCGUAGGCCGCAUGUCAAGCGUGUUGUGAAAUGCAGGUGCUCAACACCUGGAUUGCAGCGCGAACUGUCGUGCUUGAGUGUGCGCAACGUUGGCGGAAUUCGUCGUGUAGCGGUGAAAUGCUUAGAUAUGACGAGGAACCCCGAUUGCGAAGGCAGCUGACGGGAGCAUAACUGACGCUGAAGCUCGAAGGUGCGGGUAUCGAACAGGAUUAGAUACCCUGGUAGUCCGCACGGUAAACGAUGGAUGCCCGCCGUCCGCCCUUUUAUUGGGCGUGUGGCCAAGCGAAAGCAUUAAGCAUCCCACCUGGGGAGUACGCCGGCAACGGUGAAACUCAAAGGAAUUGACGGGGGCCCGCACAAGCGGAGGAACAUGUGGUUUAAUUCGAUGAUACGCGAGGAACCUUACCCGGGCUUGAA